GUAGGUGGCGAGCGUUAUCCGGAAUUACUGGGCGUAAAGCGCACGCAGGCGGCUCGUUAAGUCUGACGUGAAAGAACCUGGCUUAACUGGGGGAGGUCGUUGGAGACUGGCGGGCUUGAGGACAUGAGAGGGGUGCGGAAUUCCCGGUGUAGUGGUGGAAUGCGUAGAGAUCGGGAGGAACACCAGUGGCGAAAGCGGCACCCUGGCAUGAACCUGACGCUCAGGUGCGAAAGCGUGGGGAGCGAACGGGAUUAGAUACCCCGGUAGUCCACGCUGUAAACGAUGAACACUAGGUGUAGGUGGUGUUAAAACCGUCUGUGCCGCAGCCAACGCGCUAAGUGUUCCGCCUGGGGAGUACGGCCGCAAGGCUAAA
rnacentral:rRNA from 1 species